CGCACGGUGAAUGCCUAGGCACUGGAAGCCGAUGAAGGACGUGACAAACGACGAAAUGCUUCGGGGAGCGGUAAGUACGCAGAGAUCCGGAGAUAUCCGAAUGGGGGAACCCGGCACCGCGAGGUGUCACCUUGAAUGUGAAUAGAUAGCAUUAAGGAGGAAGACGCAGUGAACUGAAACAUCUAAGUAGCUGCAGGAAGAGAAAGAAAGAUCGAUUUCCCAAGUAGCGGCGAGCGAACAGGAAAGAGCCCAAACCUAAUGGCUUGCCAUUAGGGGUAGAAGGACUGUAAAAAGCCGAAUGGAAGGAUAGCAGAAUUAUCUGGGAAGAUAAGCCAAAGAGGGUGAGAGCCCCGUAAGCGAAAUCCGGAAAGUAGGUGAGCAGGAUCCUGAGUAGGUCGGGACACGAGGAAUCCCGAUUGAAUCCGCGAGGACCAUCUCGCAAGGCUAAAUACUAACCAGUGACCGAUAGUGAACCAGUACCGUGAGGGAAAGGUGAAAAGAACCCCGGGAGGGGAGUGAAAGAGAACCUGAAACCGUGUGCCUACAAGUAGUCAGAGCACGUUAAAGUGUGAUGGCGUGCCUUUUGUAGAAUGAACCGGCGAGUUGCGUUGUGGUGCAAGGUUAAGUCAGAAAAGACGGAGCCGAAGCGAAAGCGAGUCUGAAGAGGGCGAGAUAGUAUCAUGACGCAGACCCGAAACCAAGUGACCUACCCAUGACCAGGUUGAAGGCGUGGUAAAACACGCUGGAGGACCGAACCCACGCAAGUUGAAAAUUGCGGGGAUGAGUUGUGGGUAGCGGUGAAAUUCCAAACGAACUUGGAGAUAGCUGGUUCUCUCCGAAAUAGCUUUAGGGCUAGCCUCGUGUGAAUGAUAAUGGAGGUAGAGCACUGUUUGGACUAGGGGCCCGUCAGGGGUUACUGAAUCCAGAUAAACUCCGAAUGCCAGAUAUCAAUGCACGGGAGUCAGACUGCGAGUGAUAAGAUCCGUAGUCGAAAGGGAAACAGCCCAGAUCACCGGUUAAGGUCCCAAAAUCUAUGCUAAGUGGAAAAGGAUGUGGAGUUGCACAGACAACUAGGAUGUUGGCUCAGAAGCAGCCACCAUUUAAAGAGUGCGUAAUAGCUCACUAGUCGAGUGACGCUGCGCCGAAAAUUUACCGGGGCUAAGCAUAGUACCGAAACCGUGGAUGCAGGUAACUGCGUGGUAGGAGAGCGUUCUAAAGGCGGAGAAGGCAGAUCGAGAGGACUGUUGGAGCGUUUAGAAGUGAGAAUGCCGGUAUAAGUAGCGAAAGACAGGUGAGAAUCCUGUCCGCCGAAAGACUAAGGUUUCCUGGGGCAGGCUCGUCCGCCCAGGGUAAGUCGGGACCUAAGGUAAGGCCGAGAGGCGUAGCCGAUGGACAACAGGUAGAUAUUCCUGUACUAUUCGUAAUCGAUAAGAGCGAAGGAGGGACGCAGGAGGCUAAUGACGCAUGGAGAUGGAAUCAUGUGUAAGCGUUAAGGGAGGAUACGAGUCAAAUGCUUGUAGCCAAUUUUGAGACGUGAUGCGGAG
rnacentral:rRNA from 1 species